UGAAGGUUGGGUAACACUAACUGGAGGACCGAACCGACUAAUGUUGAAAAAUUAGCGGAUGACUUGUGGCUGGGGGUGAAAGGCCAAUCAAACCGGGAGGUAGCUGGUUCUCCCCGAAAGCUAUUUAGGUAGCGCCUCGUAAACUCAUCUUCGGGGGUAGAGCACUGUUUCGGCUAGGGGGUCAUCCCGACUUACCAACCCGAUGCAAACUACGAAUACCGAAGAAUGUUAUAACGGGAGACACACGGCGGGUGCUAACGUCCGUCGUGAAGAGGGAAACAACCCAGACCGCCAGCUAAGGUCCCAAAGUCAUGGUUAAGUGGGAAACGAUG
rnacentral:rRNA from 1 species